AUUUAUUUAGGUUUUCUUUAAUUUCUUUCAACAAUGUUUUAUGGUUUUCAGUGCACAAACUUUUCAUCCCCUUAAAUUUAUUCCUAGGUAUUUCAUCUUUUUGAAUGCUAUCUUAGUCUGCUUAGGUUGCUAUGACAAAAUACUACAUACUGGAUGUCUUAAACAACAGAAAUUUCUUUCUUACAGUUCUGGAGACUGGGAAUCCAAGAUCAAGGCCAAUUUGGAUUCUGGCAGAGAGAGAGGAGGAAGCAGGCUCCCUGCUGAGCAGAGAGCCUGAUGUGGGGCUUAUCCCAGGACUCUUGAGACCAUGACCUGACCCAAGGCAGAGGCUUUAACCCACUGAGCCACCCAGGUACCCCUAA
rnacentral:lncRNA from 1 species